rnacentral:tRNA from 1 species
GUGAGCAUAGUUUUCAAAAAAUUCUAGUCUGUGACACUGGAGAUGAGGACUAGUUAUCCUCUGCCCACC